rnacentral:rRNA from 1 species
CCUACGGGAGGCAGCAGUGAGGAAUAUUGGUCAAUGGGCGCGAGCCUGAACCAGCCAAGUCGCGCGCAGGAUGACUGCCCUACGGGUUGUAAACUUCUUUUAUAAAGGAAUAAAGUGAGGCACGUGUGCCUUGCUGUAGGUACUUUAUGAAUAAGGAUCGGCUAACUCCGUGCCAGCAGCCGCGGUAAUACGGAGGAUCCGAGCGUUAUCCGGAUUUAUUGGGUUUAAAGGGUGCGUAGAUGGGUUGUUAAGUUAGUUGUGAAAGGUUGCGGCUUAACCCUGGAAUUGCCAUUGAUACUGGCAGUCUUGAGUACAGAUGAGGUAGGCGGAAUGUGUGGUGUAGCGGUGAAAUGCUUAGAUAUCACGAAGAACUCCGAUUGCGAAGGCAGCUUACCAAACUGCCACUGACAUUGAUGCUCGAAAGUGUGGGUAUCAAACAGGAUUAGAUACCCGUGUAGUC